AAUCUAGCGAGAAUUCACCUGUAUUAGUAGAAGGUGAUGGGUUCACGGAAGUUAGGUUGAGAAAGGGAGGAGACUCCUGAAACUGAAACUCCAGCUGCUCGCACGCCAGCGAGCUCUUCCACACCGUCGGAAUCAGCGUCUCCAUGCGGCCAGGAGUGAAUCAUCCUACUACAGCAAGCUCAGGAUGAACCGCUCUUAAGACACCGCGCUGAGAGGAUCUCUGCAUUGUUUCUUGCAUUGGUCUGCAACUGGCAAGGAACAGAGACACAGAAGGGGAUAUAAAAUCAUCUACAUCUAAAGGGAAAACACAGAAUAAAGCACCUAAGGUUCGUUUUUUAGGGAUAGAGAGGAAUACAACAGCAGAAGGAGGCGACAUACAAGAAGAGGUGGUCAUAACAGAGGAAAAGAAACCCACUCGGGGCAACAGAGGGGGCAAGACGGGGACCAAAAAGUAGAGGGACCUCUCACUGAACAUAGUCUUGUGGAUCGAAUGUGAUGUUACAAGAUACUACAGGAAGUGAAUACAUCCACCAUAAGGUCACGUUAUACACAUGUAAUGGGGUGAUUGUUUGGCUACCAGGCCCUCAGCUGAAACUCAGUUACAAGCAUACAAAAGGUUCGGGGUUGCCAGGAAUUAUUACUUUGGUGUUGACACUUUGCUCCCCUGACAACAGUGAUACAUUUUAUUAUCGAUACCAUGCACUAUGGACUUUGAUCUGUAUAUUGUAAAACUAUCCGUGCUCCAGGAGAGAGAGCAUCUGGCCUCCUACAGUUUGUUCAUGGUGUCCCUUGUAUAGGACAUUUCUACUUGUUUUUAUAUGUCUGUU